rnacentral:sRNA from 1 species
AUCAACUUUCGAUGGUAGGAUAGAGGCCUACCAUGGUGGUAACGGGUAACGGGGUGUUAGGGCACGACACCGGAGAGGGAGCCUGGGAAACGGCUACCACAUCCAAGGAUGGCAGCAGGCGCGCAAAUUACCCAAUCCCGACACGGGGAGGUAGUGACAAUAAAUAACAAUACGGGGUUCUUAUGGAUCUCGUAAUUGGAAUGAGUACAAUUUAAAUCUCUUAACGAGGAACAAUUGGAGGGCAAGUCUGGUGCCAGCAGCCGCGGUAAUUCCAGCUCCAAUAGCGUAUAUUAAAGUUGUUGCAGUUAAAAAGCUCGUAGUUGAAUUUCGGGGUCAGUAGGUUGGUCAUGCCACUGGUAUGUACUGGUCUCACUGAUUCCUCCUUCCUGAUGAACUGUAAUGCCAUUAAUUUGGUGUUGCAGGGAAUCUGGACUGUUACUUUGAAAAAAUUAGAGUGUUUAAAGCAGGCUAACGCCUGAAUACAUUAGCAUGGAAUAAUGAAAUAGGACGUUCGAUCCUAUUUUGUUGGUUUCUAGGAUUGACGUAAUGAUUAAUAGGGAUAGUUGGGGGCAUUAGUAUUCAAUUGUCAGAGGUGAAAUUCUUGGAUUUAUUGAAGACUAACUACUGCGAAAGCAUUUGCCAAGGAUGUUUUCAUUAAUCAAGAACGAAAGUUAGGGGAUCGAAGACGAUCAGAUACCGUCGUAGUCUUAACCAUAAACUAUGCCGACUAGGGAUCGGAUGAUGUUAAUUUUUUAAUGACUCAUUCGGCGCCUUACGGGAAACCAAAGUGUUUGGGUUC